UACGGGGGGGGCAAGCGUUGUUCGGAAUUACUGGGCGUAAAGGGCGCGUAGGCGGUUCGCUAAGUUGGACGUGAAAACUCUGGGCUCAACCCAGAGCCUGCAUCCAAAACUGGCGGGCUAGAGUUCUGGAGGGGGUAGCGGAAUUCCUGGUGUAGCGGUGAAAUGCGUAGAUAUCAGGAGGAGCACCGGUGGCGAAGGCGGCUACCUGGACAGAAACUGACGCUGAGGCGCGAAAGCUAGGGGAGCAAACAGG
rnacentral:rRNA from 1 species